GACGAAAUUCUCGUAGCUUGGCGCGCUUAUGGUAUGGGAAAGGGAAAAGAGAUCCCAUUGGAAACAACAUCAGAAGAAUAUGGCGGUUCUGAAGAACAUGUCCGGUCAUAAGAUGUAAAAAGCAAACGUUUCAUCUGUUCGCGCAGCAAAGUGGACCAAAGGGGCACUCUUCACAGGCUGUGCAGAGUGAAGUAUUGAAGGAUACAAGAGAGGCUACAUCCGGCGAAGUAGAGGUAAAAGAAGGAUGGGCGCUAAAGCCGAGCAAAAAAGCAUAUCGCUUUAACCAAAACCAGAGGGAUUAUCUAAAUGCGAAGUUUACAAUUGGUCAAACCAGCGGCAGAAAACUGGACGGUGAUAUCGUAUCACGUGAAAUGAGACGUGCACAAGGACCUGAUGGUGUUCGUUUGUUCAAAGUAUCCGAGUUUCUUACCCCGCAGCAGUGCACUUCAUAUUUCUCACGUCUUGCAGCGAAGGUCCGACGGCAAACAUCCGACGAUGCUGAAAUCCAAGCUGUAGUAGAAGAG